rnacentral:rRNA from 1 species
GACAGAGGGUGCAAACGUUGUUCGGAAUUACUGGGCGUAAAGCGCGUGUAGGCGGCCCUGCAAGUCGGAUGUGAAAUCCCACGGCUCAACCGUGGAAGUGCAUUCGAAACUGCAGGGCUAGAGUCCUGGAGAGGAAGGUGGAAUGCUUGGUGUAGAGGUGAAAUUCGUAGAUAUCAAGCGGAACACCGGUGGCGAAGGCGGUUCUCUGGGCCUUACCUGACGCUGAGGAGCGAAAGCGUGGGGAGCGAACAGG